rnacentral:rRNA from 1 species
UCCUACGGGGGGCAGCAGUGGGGAAUAUUGGACAAUGGGGGGAACCCUGAUCCAGCCAUGCCGCGUGUGUGAAGAAGGCCUUUUGGUUGUAAAGCACUUUAAGCGAGGAGGAGGCUACUCUAGUUAAUACCUAGGGAUAGUGGACGUUACUCGCAGAAUAAGCACCGGCUAACUCUGUGCCAGCAGCCGCGGUAAUACAGAGGGUGCGAGCGUUAAUCGGAUUUACUGGGCGUAAAGCGUGCGUAGGCGGCUUUUUAAGUCGGAUGUGAAAUCCCUGAGCUUAACUUAGGAAUUGCAUUCGAUACUGGGAAGCUAGAGUAUGGGAGAGGAUGGUAGGAUUCCAGGUGUAGCGGUGAAAUGCGUAGAGAUCUGGAGGAAUACCGAUGGCGAAGGCAGCCAUCUGGCCUAAUACUGACGCUGAGGUACGAAAGCAUGGGGAGCAAACAGGAUUAGAUACCCUGGUAGC